CUAAUAUGGUCCCGACAAUAAUUGCUUACGGCCGUCUGAGUCCAUAAUACUGCGCGCUUUUCUGCCUAGUGAUUUGCACACGCACACUGCACCACGACAUUGCACCACAUAAAACACACAUUACAAAACCAACAGUUAUUUUAAGGAACUCCUGUCUGUCUUUCUGUCUGACUGAAUGUCUAUGUCCUGAUUUUCUCUGGUCAGGUAGGUUCACUGCAAUGCUUAAAAAAAAUCAUAUUUCAAAUCCAGGUUUAUAAAAACAGUAACUAAUGCGCUGUAUUUGUGUGUGUUUCUACCCUCGAGUAUGUCUGAGAGAAAUAAAGAAGGUGUCCCACUGCGGUACCCCCCGCUACAUGGAGCCCCACAUCCUGAGCUGGAGGCCUCUCAUGCUCUCCAUGGUCAAGCUCAGGCUGAUUUACUUCCUCUUCCUGAGGCCAUCCCUGAUGACGUCACUGUGGUAAAAGAUAUCAAAAUGUCAGUGUCAAUUUCAGAUGGUAAAAGUUAUGUUUUAGCAGGGGUUUAAGUGAUGCUGUGCCUUUUAAUGUUUAUUCUUUUCCCCUCUGAUAUUAUUAGACACAUAAGUAUACUUUUUGAUCGUGAUACACCAAACAUUAAUAACAUCACCAACAGUGAACUGUUCCACUGUCCCUUCUGUAAAUGCGUGGGUGCAAAAUAUAAGGUUGACAACCAUGUAAAAGGCCAUUGGUCAGUGAAACACAAAGGUGCUUAUCUAAAAUAUUACAGAAAUGAAUUAAUUUGUAUUAUAAGUAUAUAUAUAAGUAUGAAUCUUAC